CUCCCCGUGGCCUUGCGGGUAGUGCUGUUGUCUUAGAAAUUUGCAUCCCGGGUUCAAACCCCGGCGGGGUCA